GGCGUCUAAAAAUAUUGAGUUGGGAUCUCUCACAACUAAUAUAAAUGUAUAGCCAGUGGAGACAUACUGGGGCAUCAUGCAGAUGCUAGAGGGCUGGUGAGUCCUGGAUGCAUGGAUAAAAGCAGCCCAUCUAGCAAACACACGAAGAGGUGUUUUCCUGAAUUGGUACAGUUGAAAGACUAAGGCAGAGUCGUGAAGGAACACUUCACUAAAGCAGACACAAGAGAAAAGAUGUUCUACUAAACCAAAAACAUAAAAAGACCCAUGACAAAAGAUUAUUUACUACUAACACUAUGUGUUGAUUUGCCUUAUAUUGCAUGGUUGAGCUGCAUUUGUCAGGACUCCCUGGACUCACACUUAUUGUAUACAUGUGCUAAGACAAGACAUAUGGUGUGGCAAGACACUUGGAGGAAACGUAGUAGGUUGAGUGUACAAAUAGGAGUCAGUGGAGUGAUAGAUGGAUGCUGAACUAGGUUUGCUUAAAGAGCUAGCUGCGCAACCCUUGUGGGUCUUGCCUCCUUGCUGAUCUAUAUUUCCCUGAGAGAGGCAUAGCUGAGAACUCCUUUUGUUCCUGCUGAUCAACCCUGCUGACACAAGCCAAGGCUGAGGUCUGACUGUCUCUGCAAGGUCAUGUCACUGAUGUUGCUACUGAAGUUGACUGCUGGUGUAUCCAUGAAGUGUUUGCGAGUGUAUCAAACUGCUGCUGAAUGAAAACCUGUGAACUAAAGUGCCGAUUUCCAGCCAGGACAGAUAGAUCAUGCUGACCCAGAAAGUGGAGAUCUGAUUGCUGAGAUUAAAGGCUUGAGCCACCAUGAUUAUCUGUAAUAAAGUGAGGUGUUAGAGCCUGUGGCUUAGUGAAGUGAACAACGGGGCUGGAAGCAAGGUCAGAGUCCAAGUCUUUUUGAUAAAGAACCAGGAAUACAUACCAGCACAUCUGGGCUGACUAUCCUUCUUCCCAAGGGAUGGAUCAAUCUCAGAGAAGAUGGUCCUUCCUCCUGAUCUACAGGUUACUCUCUAGAUCAGUAGAGCCUCCUUACAAGUCACCACAUGUAAAUUGGAUUUACAUCCCUAUCAUCUAGAGGAUAGCAAGCACAGAGAACAGCAAAGACAAAAAAGAAAGGACAAAGAACUCAGAGGGUGACACAUUAAUCACUUUGUGUCAUUUUUUUCCUGUUUUACCUUGACUCUGACAUCUAACAAAAAGAGAACAUCAAGAAGAAGAAAAUGAAAGAAACAAACCUCUUUGGAGCCCUGGUGUUGUCGUCAAGUCGAAUUUUUAAAGGACAGAGAGGAGUUGUGAAAAUCAGCUUGCUCAGUGGAAGUCCGCAGUGUUAUAUAAUCAGUACCAUUGUGCUUUAUCUUACAGAAAGUUAAACAUGGCCUGUGGUCACACAGUUACUGAAGAAUUGAACUGUAACCUAUAAUUCUCAUUCUCUCUCUCUCUCUCUCUCUCUCUCUCUCUCUCUCUCUCUCUCAUGAAUAAAAUUUGAAAUUAAACUAC